GGAGGAGAGCCAGUGUGGUGUAGUGGUUAAGAGCGAUAGACUUGUAAUCUGGGGAACCGGGUUCGCUUCCCCGCUCCUCCA
rnacentral:tRNA from 1 species